AGGAUCAAGUGUGACGUCCACUGCAUACUGCUGGACUGUCUUUAACUCAAUGUUUGUGAGAAGCUUCUUCAUCUCAUUUUUGAGCAUCUCCACCAACUGAUCAACAGCUGUCCCCACAGUCCCCUCAUAUGAAGGAAGGCAGACUUUGACCUCUGUCCAGUUCUUGGUGGGUGGAGCAGCAUCCAGGGAUGGAAACUUCUGGACGAGGUUAAGGUGGUCUUCUGAGCGUGAGAGCUGCUCCAGCUCAUUGCUUCUCUUCUCCAGCUCAGAAAUUUCCUGUUCCAGCUCUUUGAUGAAGCCUUCAGCCUGUUUCUCUGUCAUUCUGUGCUUUUCUUCAGCCAUCUUAAUAACUUUGGCCUGGUUUCUCUCAAUAGCCUCCUUCAGCUCGGUGAAGACAUGAUUGCUGUUUGCUAUCUCUCUGUCUGCAUUUUUCCUGCUGAUGCUGACUGAAUCUUUGAACCCUUGAAUCUUGAGUCGUCUCUCCUUGAUCAUCUGCUGAAUUUCAGCCCCUGUCUUCCCAAGCUUGGCCAGGUUUCUUUCAUAUUCUUCUUUUAGAGGCACAACAUCAUGUGACUUGUGAUCCAAAACUGUGCAGAGCAUGCACAGACACAUCUGGUCGGUCUUACAGAACAGCUCCAGCAGUUUAUCGUGCUUCAUACACAUCCUGCCUUCCAGGUUCUCCACAGGGUCGAUCAGCUGAUGUCUUUUCAGGCCUGACGCUGUCAGAUGAGGCUCCAGGUGAGUCUCACAGUAGGAGACCAGACACACCAGGCAGGACUUCAGGGCCUUCACUUUGGGUCCAGUGCAGACGUCACAGGGAACGUCUCCUGGUUCAGCAGCUUGUUGCUCUGAGCUGCUGGCUCUCUGUUGAGCUGACUGUCUGAAGUGAGAAACCAUCUCAGAGACAAAAGUAUUGACCUGCAGCUCAGGUCUUGUGUCAAAAACCUUAUUACAGUCGGGACACUGAUAGGGGACAUUAAUAUUCCAG